CUACUAUGUGGUAUAUAUAUAUAAGGCCUCACUUCCUGUUUUUGAGCAGAAAUAGUGGGGGAGAGAGAAGAGAAGAGAGCACUUUAUUAUCCUCCAAACUAUACAAUCCCUUGCUUGUUUCAGCUUUAUAUUUAUUCUCUACCUGCUUUCAACAUCAUCUGAAAAACUCCUGUGGCUGUGGCUGUGGCUGUGGCUGUGGCUGUGUGCCUGUGAAAAAGAUGCCCCUCCCUCCCUCAUGCCCUCAUCUCUCUUUCUUUUAUGUUUAAACCGAAUAACUUUGCCAGAUUUGUAGAGAUCUUCUAUCGCUUUCUAGCUCUUCUCUGACUCUCAUGAGGACUGCGAUCUUUCCUCUUCCCUGCCUUUAUUGCAGCUCCUAAAAAAAUAAAAUAAAAUAAAAUAAAAGACAUUGCAGCUGAAGCUGAUCACCGUGGAAGCACUGGAUGCUUUAUAGGUCAAUUUUCAUGCACGGCCAGUCUCAAUGGAGCUAUAUGGUGUCGCAGAAAACCGGUUUGAGAAACUGAUCUUUAGGUUUUAUAUAAGGUUGACAUCUUGAUGGAAACUUUAGUGUUAUUGCAGGGAGAAAAAGAAAUGGGUGGAUGGAUCUCUGAUUGCCAUAAAAUUAAUUAAGGUAACGGAUGAUCAUCAUCUCAACCUAAAUUGAUCUAAUAUUAGACACUAUUUCUUGAGUUCUUCAGCAAUCUAGGUUCCAGUGCUUGUGGGAUUUUCCUGUUUUGGCAAUUGAGCUGACCUUUUCGCUUUCUGAUUACCCUUUUCUUUUCCUUGACAAGUAAAAUAACUCUCAUGACUUUAGGGUUAGGGUUCAUGCAACCACAUUUUCAACAUUCUAAUUCGUAAAUCAGUACCAUUUUCUGUUACUCUUUAAUUCCUUGGUAUACGAGGGCAGGUCGAUAGGAAUAUUCCUAAUUUUAUUGCUUCCUAUAUCUUAAUUUUAAGGUUCCAAAAUUUGGUAGAUAACAUGUUAAGAAUUAUUCCUGCUGUUUUCUUUUUUGUUUUUUUAGUUGGCCUACAACUAGAAGUCAUUGUCUUGAACAAGCUUCCAAAAUGACCUGUUCUUCUUCCAUUAUCCUAUGAAUUUGAAUUAUUGUUGCCUUUCUCAGUUUAUAUAGGAUGUCAAAAACAACUCUUGAUUUCUUGAGUCCCACUUUGUUUUUGGCGUUGAAAAACAUUUUUGCAAAGAAAAUGAUUUUUUUUUGUAUUUUUAGUUUUUUUUAUAUGUGUCGAUAUUAAAAAUAAAUUUUUUAAAAUAAAAAAAAUAUGAUGUAUUUACAAGCAAAAAAUACUUCGAAAAUCAAUAGCUGCUCUUAAUAUCUCAUGAACAAUAUUGAAUUGCAUUUUGUGCCAAUCACAGGAGCUUAGUUUAUCAUUGAUAUUUGCUAUUUAGUAGUAGUUUUUAAUUUCCCCGACUACCCAAAAUUGAAAAGCAAAUCAUCCUGUUUAAUUUACAAAUCCAGUAGUGAAAUUGAAUCAUUGCACUUUCAUAAUUUGAUUUAGCUUGAAAAGAAUGUUUUAGGCUUUCAUAUAUAAUUUGUGUUAGCCAUAUUAAUGUUUGCUACUUGCAUAUAUUCAUCUCUCCGUCCAGCAUUUAAACAUCUGUGACAGCCAAUCGCCUCAGCUGAAUACGUUGUGAAAUUUCUUAAUUUUCAUGAAAAAUGGUUUAACAGAGCUUCCUUCAGUCCACUCAUGGACGGGCGAAGGGUUUGGAUUAGCUGCCGACUCAUUCAUUCAAACACAGUAGACAAGGAGUGGCAGCGGCUGCUAUUGUGAAUGUGUGAAUGACGCGGGAGAUUAAUUUCAUCCUUUUCUUCUCUGUGCUUGGACUGAAGGGAGCUCCCUUUAAUUGUUUAUUCACGAUCUUAGAUGACAAGAUCCUUUUCUUCAAAUUUCCUUCCUGUCAUGUCGAGGAAGUAAAACAUAUAAAUAUUCGUGUUAAUUAGAUCUCAAUAUUCACCCCGUA